CGGUGCGUGGCCCAGCUUGGUAGGGCGCAGCGUUCGGGUCGCUGAGGUCGUGGGUUCAAAUCCCGUCGCACCGA
rfam:Firmicutes bacterium CAG:102 genomic scaffold, scf115